rnacentral:rRNA from 1 species
UGGGGAAUAUUGGACAAUGGGCGCAAGCCUGAUCCAGCCAUGCCGCGUGUGUGAAGAAGGCCUUUUGGUUGUAAAGCACUUUAAGCGAGGAGGAGGCUACUUGGAUUAAUACUCUAGGAUAGUGGACGUUACUCGCAGAAUAAGGACCGGCUAACUCUGUGCCAGCAGCCGCGGUAAUACAGAGGGUGCGAGCGUUAAUCGGAUUUACUGGGCGUAAAGCGUGCGUAGGCGGCUUCUUAAGUCGGAUGUGAAAUCCCUGAGCUUAACUUAGGAAUUGCAUUCGAUACUGGGAAGCUAGAGUAUGGGAGAGGAUGGUAGAAUUCCAGGUGUAGCGGUGAAAUGCGUAGAGAUCUGGAGGAAUACCGAUGGCGAAGGCAGCCAUCUGGCCUAAUACUGACGCUGAGGUACGAAAGCAUGGGGAGCAAACAGG